UAUUCAGGCUUCACACAAAGGAUCUGGCAAAAGGAAACCUGUUUUGUGCACAACUGCUUUACUACCACUGUAGCCACUAGGGCCUUAUUCACUACGGAAAAAGGAUAUAUUGUUAAUCCUGUGUUGCAAUCCUAGUGGAGACAAGGCCAUUUUGGUUUUAAGAUGUUAUCUGGUUGAGGAAAGAUUAACCCAGUGAAGUCCUGCUGUUACUUGGCUCUACAGUUGGGAUGACCACACAACAAGAUAAAGUCAUGGAGCCAGUGUGACCCCCACCUUAAUUAAGGGAAAAAUGCAGAUAGUUUACCAGAAAUGAAAUAAAUGUGCUUGGAUGGACUGAAGGUGAAGAGGGGCAUUCAGCUUCUCAGAGUUAUUUUGCCUGGCUCUUGAUUGUUGGGCUGCCCCAGAACGUAUCAUUCAAUGGAGGUGAACCUACUGAUAACAGUGGAUCAAGUACUUCAUCUAACAGAGUCCAUAUAAGAGACCAUGGUUACCAAAAUUCAGGCAGUCCUCAGACUUACGACACAAUUGGUUCCUGAAAAUUGCAUCGUAAGUCGAAACGUCAUAACUCGGAACUGCAAUCCACUCCAUUGUGGGACCAAGCAUUGUAAAGUCAAAACCAAUUGUUGUAAGUUGAAUCAGGGUGUCAGUCCAGAAGUGUUGUAAGUGCCAUUCGUCAUAAG